rnacentral:lncRNA from 1 species
UUUAUUGUAACAGAAAUAUGUCACACAAAAAUGUUGACCAAGGUCUCAAAAAUAGGGUAUGAUAUUAGAAGGCUCUGAAAUUUGGAAUCACUCCAUUUGGAGUGGAUUUGAACCCUAUAUGAUUUUUGAAAAGUGGGGCUAAAUAUAUUCAAUAUGUAUUUGAAUAAUGACAUAACAGAAAAGUUGCUUGGAAAAAUGUGCAAAUCACAUCUUUAGAUAGGUCUUCAUUUUAGAGACCUCUAGAAAUUUGAAUCAACAUUUUUGGAGUUAGAAUGAUUUAACUAAAUAUUUUUGAAGUUUACUGAUAAAAUAAAAAGGGGAAAGAGGGCCUCCAGAGUUGGGCUAUCCUACACACCGGGCGUAGGUUAAUAGCAUG